UCAGGAUUGAAGUGAUGAUUUGUAUAAAAUAAAGCAUAGUUCAUCUGAUUCCUGAUGACAAACAAACACCAUUUUUGUCUUUCGCUCCCAUCUGAUCCUAU
rnacentral:snoRNA from 1 species